ACAGCCGCCGCGGUAAUACAGAGGUCCCGAGCGUUGUUCGGAUUCACUGGGCGUAAAGGGUGCGUAGGUGGUGAGGUAAGUCGGAUGUGAAAUCUCGGAGCUCAACUCCGAAAAUGCAUUGGAAACUGCCUUGCUUGAGGUUUGGAGGGGGGACUGGAAUUCUCGGUGUAGCAGUGAAAUGCGUAGAUAUCGAGAGGAACACCAGUGGCGAAGGCGAGUCCCUGGACAACACCUGACACUGAGGCACGAAAGCUAGGGGAGCAAACAGGAUUAGAUACCCUGGUAGUCCUAGCCGUAAACGGUGCACGUUUGCUGUAAAAGGAAUCGACCCCUUUUGUGGCGUAGCCAACGCGUUAAACGUGCCGCCUGGGAAGUACGGUCGCAAGAUUAAAACUCAAAGAAAUUGACGGGGGCCCGCACAAGG
rnacentral:rRNA from 1 species